CACUAUAACCUUGUACAAUAUCUGUAUAUAAGUGGCGGAGAGAAAAAUUAAACAGACCAUUCUAUUUCGGACAGAAGUUUACAAUGAAGUCUUUGCUUCUCCUGUUGGUUGUCUGUUUAGCAGUCGGUGCUUAUGCCAAUAGUUGCACGGAUACAUGUGACGCAACAUACAAUGGUUGCGUCCAAGGAUGUCGUGACUCACAUGCACACGGCCACGCGUUCGACACGUGCCAGAACACUUGUCAGCUGGCGAGGGACACUUGUCAUGCUACAUGUCAUGGACAUGGAAAAUGAAUUCAUAAAUGUAUUAAAAAAUGAAAUAAACUUUUUCGUUUAA